GAUGAACGCUGGCGGCGUGCCUAAUACAUGCAAGUCGAGCGAACAGACGAGGAGCUUGCUCCUCUGACGUUAGCGGCGGACGGGUGAGUAACACGUGGAUAACCUACCUAUAAGACUGGGAUAACUUCGGGAAACCGGAGCUAAUACCGGAUAAUAUAUUGAACCGCAUGGUUCAAUAGUGAAAGACGGUUUUGCUGUAACUUAUAGAUGGAUCCGCGCCGCAUUAGCUAGUUGGUAAGGUAACGGCUUACCAAGGCAACGAUGCGUAGCCGACCUGAGAGGGUGGUCGGCCACACUGGAAGUGAGACACGGUCCAGACUCCUACGAGAGGCAGCAGUAGGGAAUCUUCCGCAAUGGGCGAGAGCUUGACGGAGCAACGCCGCGUGAGUGAUGAAGGUCUUCGGAUCGUAAAACUCUGUUAUUAGGGAAGAACAAAUGUGUAAUUAACUAUGCACGUCUUGACGGUACCUAAUCAGAAAGCCACGGCUAACUACGUG
rnacentral:rRNA from 1 species